rnacentral:rRNA from 1 species
GAACGAACGCUGGCGGCAGGCUUAACACAUGCAAGUCGAGCGCCUCGCAAGAGAAGCGGGCAGACGGGUGAGUAACGCGUGGGAAUCUACCCAUCUCUACGGAACAACUCCGGGAAACUGGAGCUAAUACCGUAUACGUCCUUCGGGAGAAAGAUUUAUCGGAGAUGGAUGAGCCCGCGUUGGAUUAGCUAGUUGGUGGGGUAAUGGCCUACCAAGGCGACGAUCCAUAGCUGGUCUGAGAGGAUGAUCAGCCACACUGGGACUGAGACACGGCCCAGACUCCUACGGGAGGCAGCAGUGGG